rnacentral:rRNA from 1 species
UAUUGGUCAAUGGGCUUACGCCUGAAACAGCCAAGUCGCGUGAGGGAAGACUGCCCUAUGGGUUGUAAACCUCUUUUGUCAGGGAGCAAUUGGCGCUACGUGUAGCGUUAUCGAGAGUACCUGAAGAAAAAGCAUAGGCUAACUCCGUGCCAGCAGCCGCGGUAAUACGGAGGAUGCGAGCGUUAUCCGGAUUUAUUGGGUUUAAAGGGUGCGUAGGCGGAAUAUCAAGUCAGCGGUAAAAAUUCGGGGCUCAACCCCGUCGUGCCGUUGAAACUGAUGUUCUUGAGUGGGCGAGAAGUAUGCGGAAUGCGUGGUGUAGCGGUGAAAUGCAUAGAUAUCACGCAGAACUCCGAUUGCGAAGGCAGCAUACCGGCGCCCAACUGACGCUGAAGCACGAAAGCGUGGGUAUCG